UCUCGCAUCGACCAAACUAACGAGCACCAUUUUAAACUGAUGACUGUUUGUUUAAAUUCUGUUUUACAUGACUUGGACGGCAAACCUUUGAGAGUUGCCAAAGUUGGAUUUACUUUUUGCCACUUCAGGCAGUCCCAGCGGUGAUCCAGUGAACAUGGAAAGUCUGUAAAUAAAAUGCUCCGCAAGGUAAUGACUUACCGAGGAACUAGUUUUGCUUCAAAUGAGAGAAAAAGUUUGGGAGAAGACAGAAGAGAGAAAGCCGUGGCAGCAUUCAGUCUUGAGCCAGACGUGGCUCACAUGUGGCCCCAAAGGCAGCAGACAGUGUAUUGAAUUACUGUAACUCAAGGUGUAAUGUGGUAGCACCGGGGGAUAUGUAAAAACUACACAAACGGAUGUAGUGGAGGCUUACUUCGGCUUCAGCUUACGAUUACAGCUAUUCAGUGUUAAAGUGUGUUGUUUAUGUUCUCAAAGGUCAUUUACAGUCAUUUAUAGCUAUAACAGCAGCUUACUUUCAGCAAUGAUAAUCAGCCAUUAUUAGUUUAGCCACUCAUUUCAAAGUGCCACUGUUGUAAAAGCCUUGUAUCUCCAGGUUUAAUGAUUUUCAUAUGUCUCUUCUUUACUAAAUGACUUAAUUGUUUGUAGCAUGAGGUCUCGCAUUUGUGAGACCGCCAGAAAUAUAGCUGAUUCUUGCUUGAAGCUCAUGGACAUUUUGGAAAUACACAGUUUUUAUGUGACAUAUAGUAAAUACAGUUAUGAGAUAACCAGUUACGCUUUAAUGUUUCAUGUGUUACUCAAGUAGCUAAUUAAAUAGCACUGUGUACAAUAUCAAUUUGCAGUGUUACGUU